rnacentral:rRNA from 1 species
AUUGAACGCUGGCGGCAUGCCUUACACAUGCAAGUCGAACGGCAGCACGGGAGCAAUCCUGGUGGCGAGUGGCGAACGGGUGAGUAAUAUAUCGGAACGUGCCCAGUCGUGGGGGAUAACGCAGCGAAAGCUGUGCUAAUACCGCAUACGAUCUAAGGAUGAAAGCGGGGGAUCGCAAGACCUCGCGCGAUUGGAGCGGCCGAUAUCAGAUUAGGUAGUUGGUGGGGUAAAGGCCCAACAAGCCGACGAUCUGUAGCUGGUCUGAGAGGACGACCAGCCACACUGGAACUGAGACACGGUCCAGACUCCUACGGGAGGCAGCAGUGGGGAAUUUUGGACAAUGGGCGCAAGCCUGAUCCAGCAAUGCCGCGUGCAGGAUGAAGGCCUUCGGGUUGUAAACUGCUUUUGUACGGAACGAAACGGUUCUCUCUAAUACAGGGGGCUAAUGACGGUACCGUAAGAAUAAGCACCGGCUAACUACGUGCCAGCAGCCGCGGUAA